CCUACGGGAGGCAGCAGUGGGGAAUAUUGCACAAUGGGGGAAACCCUGAUGCAGCGAAGUCGCGUGAGGGAAGAAGUAAUUCGUUAUGGAAAGCUCUAUCAGCAGGGAAGAAAAUGACGGUACCUGAGUAAGAAGCGCCAGCUAACUACGAGCCAGCAGCCGCGGUAAUCCGUAGGGGGCAAGCGUUAUCCGGAUUUACUGGGUGUAAAGGGAGCGUAGACGGCAGUGCAAGUCUGGAGUGAAAGUCGGGGGCUCAACCCCCGGAAUGCUCUGGAAACUGUACGGCUGGAGUGCAGGAGAGGUAAGUGGAAUGCCUAGUGUAGCGGUGAAAUGCGUAGAUAUUAGGAGGAACACCAGUGGCGAAGGCGGCUUACUGGACUGUAACUGACGCUGAGGCUCGAAAGCGUGGGGAGCAAACAGGAUUAGAUACCCGGGUAGUC
rnacentral:rRNA from 1 species